rnacentral:rRNA from 1 species
CACGUAGGGCGCAAGCGUUGUCCGGAAUUAUUGGGCGUAAAGAGCUCGUAGGCGGACUGUCACGUCUGCUGUGAAAAGCUGGGGCUUAACCCUGGCCUUGCAGUGGAUACGGGCAGACUAGAGGUGAGUAGGGGAGAAUGGAAUUCCCGGUGUAGCGGUGAAAUGCGCAGAUAUCGGGAGGAACACCGGUGGCGAAGGCGGUUCUCUGGGCCGAUACUGACGCUGAGGAGCGAAAGCGUGGGGAGCAAACAGG